rnacentral:rRNA from 1 species
GACGAACGCUGGCGGCGUGCUUAACACAUGCAAGUCGAACGGAAAGGCCCUGCUUGCAGGGUGCUCGAGUGGCGAACGGGUGAGUAACACGUGGGUGAUCUGCCCCUUACUUUGGGAUAAGCCUGGGAAACUGGGUCUAAUACUGGAUAGGACCAUGCUGUAGGUGGUGUGGUGGAAAGAUUAGUUUCGGUAAGGGAUGGGCUCGCGGCCUAUCAGCUUGUUGGUGGGGUAAUGGCCUACCAAGGCGUCGACGGGUAGCCGGCCUGAGAGGGUGGACGGCCACAUUGGGACUGAGAGACGGCCCAGACUCCUACGGGAGGCAGCAGUGGGGAAUAUUGCACAAUGGGCGCAAGCCUGAUGCAGCUACGCCGCGUGGGGGAUGACGGCCUUCGGGUUGUAAACUCCUUUCAGCCAUGACGAAGCCCUUGUGGUGACGGUAGUGGUAGAAGAAGCACCGGCUAACUACGUG